AAAAAUUUAAAAAUUAUUUGCCUAUUUCAAUUGUCCAAUUUUAGGGUUUUUUUUCCCAAUGAGAUUCAGUUACUAUUGAAUUUUAUUUAUUUAUUAUAUAGAAAGGCUAAUAAUUACAGUAAUACUGACACCAUGAGCUAUAAAUAUUUUUAUUUUUUAGAAGUUUUGUAAAUUUUAGGAGGUAAAAAAUGUAAUAUAAAAGAUUUUAUUUAGUAAUUUAGUAUAAUUUUUUUAGUUUAUACUUUGGAGGGGCCAAAUUUAAUUUUUCUCCAUAAUUAAAUGCAUUUUUAUUUUUUUAAUACUACAAAAAUUUUAAAACUUUCCGGGAUUGGAGGCCUGGCUCCCUAGGCAAGUGGCAGCAGAAAAUUUCCUUGGCACUAGGGAUGUGCAAUCAAUCAGUUUAGUUUCGAACCAAAUUCAACUGAAAAAACUGAAAUUCAAAUUCAUUAAAAGAACCAAACUGAACCAAACAGAAAAAUUCAAUUCGGUUAUCCAAUUCGAUUCUGCUUAGUUUAGAACAUAAGCAAAUUUUAGCCCAAUUACAACAGAGAAAGAGAAACAGAACAGAAGUAAAUUUGCUAAACUUCUAAAAAAACUCAUUUACAUUUUCUAGGCACAAACCAUCCUCAUAAGUUGCAAAAAACAAUUUUAAAUAUCACUCAUCUCAGUUAUCCAUCUUAAACCAAAAGACUAAUACAGUUUACAACUAAACUUUUUGACUCAGAUAAGAACAUAAAUAAGG
rnacentral:misc_RNA from 1 species